ACCAGGGGUGGAGCCUGCGGCUUAA
rnacentral:misc_RNA from 1 species